ensembl:snRNA U6 U6 spliceosomal RNA
GUGCUUGCUUUCACAGCACACAUUAUAAAAUUGGAAUGAUACACAAUGAUACACAAGUAGAUCAACACAACCCCUGCAUAACCAUGACAUAUAAACUAGGGAAGUAUUCUGUAUUUUC